rnacentral:rRNA from 1 species
GCAUCUAUUAGAUUAAAACCAAUCGGGUUUCGGCCCGUUUGUUGGUGACUCUGAAUAACUAUGGCUGAUCGCAUGGUCUAGAACCGGCGACGUGUCUAUCAAGUGUCUGCCUUAUCAACUGUCGAUGGUAGUUUAUGUGCCUACCAUGGUUGUAACGGGUAACGGAGAAUAAGGGUUCGACUCCGGAGAGGGAGCCUGAGAAACGGCUACCACAUCCAAGGAAGGCAGCAGGCGCGCAAAUUACCCACUCUCGGCAUGAGGAGGUAGUGACGAAAAAUAACGAGACCGUUCUCUAUGAGGCCGGUUAUCGGAAUGGGUACAAUUUAAACCCGUUAACGAGGAUCUAUGAGAGGGCAAGUCUGGUGCCAGCAGCCGCGGUAAUUCCAGCUCUCAAAGUGUAUAUCGUCAUUGCUGCGGUUAAAAAGCUCGUAGUUGGAUCUGCGCCUCAGGACCUGGUCCGCCCACUGGGUGAGAACUGGGCUCCUGGGCUAGUUCUGCUGGUUUUCCCUGCGUUGCCUUCAUCGGUAGCGUAGGGUGGCUAGCGAGUUUACUUUGAAAAAAUUAGAGUGCUUCACGCGGGCUUAUGUCUGAAUACUCGUGCAUGGAAUAAUAGAAUAGGAUCUCGGCUCUAUUUUGUUGGUUUUCUGAUCUGAGAUAAUGGUUAAGAGGGACGGACGGGGGCAUUCGUAUCGCUGCGUGAGAGGUGAAAUUCUUGGACCGUAGCGAGACGUCCGACUGCGAAAGCAUUUGCCAAGAAUGUCUUCAUUAAUCAAGAACGAAAGUCA